CGUUAUUUCUUGAAUAUUUUCAAUGGCCUAUAUUAUGUAAAAAUCGUAUUCCAAGUUGGAAAAACUAACGCGUGUUUUAGUGAAACUAUACGGUGAUCGAUACAAUAAUGGGGGCAGUACAGGAUGAUUUUUUUUUUUUUAUCACGAACCAGUAAUUUUCUCGGAGGAUUUUAAAUGAAUUUGAUUUCCGUUUUGUUUUAAUCAUUG